rnacentral:rRNA from 1 species
GAUGAACGCUGGCGGCGUGCCUAAUACAUGCAAGUCGAGCGAACGGACGAGAAGCUUGCUUCUCUGAUGUUAGCGGCGGACGGGUGAGUAACACGUGGAUAACCUACCUAUAAGACUGGGAUAACUUCGGGAAACCGGAGCUAAUACCGGAUGAUAUUUUGAACCGCAUGGUUCAAAAGUGAAAGACGGUCUUGCUGUCACUUAUAGAUGGAUCCGCGCUGCAUUAGCUAGUUGGUAAGGUAACGGCUUACCAAGGCAACGAUGCAUAGCCGACCUGAGAGGGUGAUCGGCCACACUGGAACUGAGACACGGUCCAGACUCCUACGGGAGGCAGCAGUAGGGAAUCUUCCGCAAUGGGCGAAAGCCUGACGGAGCAACGCCGCGUGAGUGAUGAAGGUCUUCGGAGCGUAAAACUCUGUUAUUAGGGAAGAACAUAUGUGUAAGUAACUGUGCACAGAUUGACGGUACCUAAUCAGAAAGCCACGGCUAACUACGUG